CGUUUUCUAUGAGUGCGUUCGAAAAUAAGUUUGGUUGGUGUUGGGAAAAAAGAUAAAGUUGGCAGUAUUGAAAAUUACCAGUGCUGCGUUUCGUUUCUUCCACUGGGAUCAUUGGAAUUAUACGUUAUACCAGGGAUCACUGAGGUUUGUUGAGGUUAUUAAGGACAUAAAAAAAAUUUGCUAUUUGAGGUAUUAUGAAAGAGAUCACUUCUCUUGUUACUUAUUAUACGUCUCUUAAACAUAUAUUUAAAAAAUGAAGAAAUCUGUGCAAUUAGUUAAGAAACACAACACUCGUCAAUUGAAGUUGCUUGAUGAAAUAACCAAUAUAGAAUAUAUAAUAGAAGUUAAUGAAGAAGAUUUCAAUCGCGCUUAUAAAGGUAUUAUUUCAAUAUUAAACAGUUAACUAUCCAGAUAAGAAAGCAUGCAAAAAUAAUUAUAUAUUGUUAUUUUUAUAUAUAGAUAUUACAUUUGCUAAUGCUUUGCUACAAAAAGCAAAACAUACCCUUUUAAUUAACGAACGUAAUUCGAGCACAAUUGAUAAUCCCAGUUCUUCGAAAAAAAA